rnacentral:rRNA from 1 species
UACGAAGGGGGCUAGCGUUGCUCGGAAUUACUGGGCGUAAAGGGCGCGUAGGCGGACUGGUAAGCGUGUGGUGAAAGCUCGGGGCUCAACCCCCGAGUCGGCCGUGCGAACUGCUGGACUGGAGCAUGUCAGAGGCAGGCGGAAUUCCGCGUGUAGCAGUGAAAUGCGUAGAGAUGCGGAGGAACACCGAUGGCGAAGGCAGCCCCCUGGGCUAACACUGACGCUCAGGCACGAAAGCGUGGGGAGCAAACAGG